CUUCGCACGGCCACUUCCCUUUGACAUUACUCCAUGUGUAUUAAUAUUAAGGAUCUAAAAGUUUGACACAAAUCGUCGCAAAAAUAUAAUCUAUUUUGAAUUUUUCAUUUUGAUAUUUUGUAAAAGUAUAUUUUAAAUAAACCGCGAAUACCCCCGUAUACUCAGGAACGUAUAUUUGUUUUGUCAAAUAAUGAAAGAAAAAAAAAGACGAAAAAACAACAAAAAGAAUAAACAAAUAAAUAAAUAAAAAAGAAAACAAAAGAAGAAGAAGAAAAAAAUGAAACAAGUAAGUAAACGUAUAAUUUGAUCAGGCGUUAACGUUUCAUUGUAUUACAAAAUAGCGUUAACAAAGUUUCGUGAAAGUUCAUGUGUCUACGAUAUCGUUAAAGAAAUUUGUCGGAAAAAAAAAUAUAUUCGUUUCUACGUUAUCGACGGGAUAAUAGUAGAUUUAUCGUCGAUAAUUACCGACGGUAAAUGUAUAUGUCGAUAAAAAGGUAGAAACUCCAUCGAACGAUCAGUCUACGACGAAUCACGUUCCUUCGUAGACGUAACCGUUACGCGCGCAAGUAAAAUUUGUAGGAUUAAAACGGAAAACCAAAAAGGAAGGGGAUAUUACACGAGAUGGUAGCACUUAGUGAGAAGCUUUUUAUCGAGAUAUUAUGGAUAGAUCAACGUUUCUUUUUGUUCUCUUACAAGAAAAAAAAAAAAAUUUGUUUCUGAAAGAUUUAACCUGUGGGGGGUUAUUUUCGAAACGUCCUUGAUCACGAAGAGAUACACAUGCAGUUUGAAUCUCGUUAAAACGGCGAACAACAGGUGGUCGGUGGCGCCGUCUCUAAUUUCUAUUUGUUGAUUUCAAAACGGAAUUUACGUAAAAAAACAAGAAGAAGAAGAAAACAAACAAACAAAAAAAAAAAAAGAACAAAGAAAGGAAAAAAGGUAUCAAGCGAAUCAAUCUUUUACGUGGGUCCAGCGAAUGAGAAGGUCUUCCUUGUUGGAGACACGAAAAUGCAUUCCUGCUAUAGAAUGGAAGGAAAGACGACGCAUCUCGAAUAGGCGAGAGAACGAGAAGGAAGAAAAUACGAUGUAGUAGGAAGAGUCGUGGCGCGCGCGCACAUACACACACACACACACACACACACACUCGCAUGCAAUACACAUCACACUCACGCGCGCGUGCAAGAGAGAGAGAGAGAGCGAGAGAGAGAGAGAGAGAGAAAGAGAGAGAGAGGGGUAAGUAUCAAUAAUUGAGCACCAUAGGAAGAGGGGGUUGGCCUCCGCUCGGCCAUUUAGCGGUCGAAUGAAGGGGGAUGGGUCGCGGAUAUACUACUACCCAUGCUAGUACGGAGAUAUCGGUGGAUGUAUCGCACGGCGAGGCCUGCUAUCGACAUGUCGACGAUGCCAGGCCGGUGCGUUGCUGCUGUUGCUGUUACUGCUGCUGCUGCUAGUGUUCUCUCUCUCUCUCUCUCUCUCUCUCUCUCUCUCUCCCUCUCUCUGUCUGUAUAUAUUCGAGGAUAUAGGAAACUAUCCUAGCUGCGAUCAUGAUACGCGAAAAUAUCAUCUGUCAUUGUAGAAUGCGUGCCAGGACCUCUCCAGAACCAACCAUCUUUACCUCUUUUAUUUUCUUUUAUUUUCUUUUCCCUUCGUUUCGUUUCGUUUCAUUUCUCUCUUUCUCUAUCUUUUUCAUUACCACAUUUGCAGAUAUUUCUUUGGAUAGAAACGCUAGGACCAAGAGACGAUCAUUGAAACGAUCAACGAGUCGUAUUUGCUGUUCGUUGGAUUCUCGUGAUUAUGGAAUCGACGAUCGAUCUGCUUUCUCUCUCUCUUUAUUUCUCUUUCUCUCCCUCUCUCUCUCUCUCUCUCUCUCCCUCUUUCUAUUCCUAUCUCCAUCUGUCGGUCUGUUCAUCCAUUCGUCCGUCCGUCCGUCUGUCUAUCUGUCUGUCUGUCUGUCUGUCUUUCUUUCUCGCAAUACCGAUGGCCUCGUUCAGCCGCGAAUUCGUAUAAUCGUGAUGGAUUUGACGAGCUUUAUCCCUUUCGACUCUCUAUCUACCAAUCUGGCACUCGACGCGUAAAUCAAAGUGGAACUUCCUAUCUCUCUCUUUCUCUCUCUUCCUCUCUCUCUCUCUCUUUAUCUCUCUUUUUCGCUCUUUCUCUCAUUCAUUUUCAUAUGUAUUAGAAACAAUGAUUGAAUCUAAAUGUUCAUAAAUUAUAAUGCAGAUUAUAUAUAUGUACGAUGGUAUUGUCCCUAGACAUAAAAAUAACAAAUGUAUUCUAAUCUAGUGCCGAUAAGAAUUUGAUCGUUAACUAAGAACUUUUGUUCCACCGCGGGAAAAUUCAAAAAGCCCAGAGGCGUAUUAUCGAAAACAUCGCGAAAAUGUGGGAAACAACGCGAGAAUGCGAACGCGAUUAUUAAGCGCAUACCGUGCAUUUUUAACGAUUCGCCUAUCCUUUUCUUUCUCUCUCUCUCUCUCUCUCUCUCUUUUUCUCUUUUUCUCUCUUUCCUUUCCUUUCAUUUUUUCGACUUUUUUUUUCCCCUUUUCUUCCGCGCAUACCGCGACCGUAAUCCGAAUUCCGAAACAAUGCGGCUUUUCUCCGCAGCGAUUGUCCCUAUAGCCGAAUUCACUUUCCAAUUAGAAGGUUUACAAUGCACAUUCGACUCGAAUCGUUCCAACGACGGUAUAUUGGCCUACAAUCGAGGUCGACGUCGUCGAGAUAAUAUCGACCAGAGAGGGAGAGAGAGAGAGAGAGAGAGAGAGAGAGAGAGAGAGAGAGAGAGAGCGUGACUAACGAUAGCUUUGAUAAGUUCAUUAAACAUAUCCGACAAUGAGUCCUCGUCGCGGUACAAUUCAAUCGAAUCCGUCGGACCGACGGAAGAUCGUUCGAGAUUACCUCACACACCUCAAACUCGCAUUUCAUAUUU